rnacentral:rRNA from 1 species
GACGAACGCUGGCGGCGUGCUUAACACAUGCAAGUCGAGCGGUGCGGCGAACGGGUGAGUAACGCGUGAGUAACUGCACCCCUCUCUGGGCUAACAGUUGGCAACGGCUGCUAAUACCGGAUAGUGGGGGCUGACUCGCGGCCUCUCAGCUUGUUGGUUGUGUAGUGGCAUACCAAGGCGACGACGGGUAGCCGGCCUGAGAGGGCGACCGGCCACAUUGGGCUGAGAUACGGCCCAAACUCCUACGGGAGGCAGUAGUGGGGAAUAUUGCACAAGGGGGGAAACCCUGAGGAAGCAACGCCGCGGGCGGGAUGUUGGCCUUCGGGUUGUAAACCGCUUUCAGCCAUGACGCGGUAGUGGCAGAAGAAGCACCGGCUAACUACGUGCCAGCAGCCGCGGUAAUUC